UGCCCAACGGCUUGGAUCUGAAUGUGCAGCUCUGCUUGGGAAGCGAGGGGAAUCAGGUGUCGGGAGAAAAGCUUUCUGUCUUUCACUCCUGAGAUGUUCACUGUGGGCUUUUCACACACGGCCGUUAUGGUGAGGUUUCCUUUUUUUUUUUUUUUAAGAAUUUAACCUUUAUUUGUUUGUUGUUGUUGUUUAUUUGUUUUUAUUUGGUGCUGAGGACAGAACCCAGGGCCUUACCCGUCCUAGGCAAGUGCUCUACCGCUGAGCGACAGCCCCAGCCCCAGCCCAGAUGUAGUUUCCUUUUAUUCCUAGCCUGUCAUGAAUGCAUGGAUUUUGUUAACCACGUGGGCGGGACGUGGACGGGACGUGGACGGGACGUGGACGCUCCUGCCCCUUCCCAGUGCUGUGCAGGCCCACUUCCACACAGCGGGCAGCCGAAGCUGCUUGUCUUAGCAGGCUGCGGGGCUGGGCUCAUGCCAUCCUCGGGGACACUGCUCUGUGGCCUCCUUUUCCUGCAGAGACUCCCUCGGGCUUUAGUGCAGGGUGAUGCUGGCCUCAGAAACGAGCUCCUCCCCUUCACUUCCGUGGACAUUCCAGGAACUGACUUUCCCUGUCCCCUGCGCGUUGGUGGCUGCAGGCCCUGGCUCCCUGAGGGGACUUCACCGCUAACGUGGCCCACGCCAGCCCAGCCCUGCAGAGCUCCCUCCUCUGACGCAUCAGCCUAGGCAGGAGUGUCCUGUGGCGGUCCCUCCACGGGUCUCCAGCUUCCUGGGCUGCGGCUCCGUGCUGCUCUCAUGGCCCUGGGUCUUUGUGGACUUAUGCAACUCCACUGUCAUGGCCACCAUGGGGACUGCAGGCUCCUCCUCGCCGCCCAGCUGGCCCAGGGCCGUCCAUGUGGUCCACCUGCUCAGAGGAUGGGCUUGGUGUGCUGGCCGUCUCUGUUUCAAGGCUCUCUAGCGUGUUGGCUGGACCGUCCCCUCCUGCUGUCAGCACGGCCUGCUGUCCUCUGGUCCUCACGCUGUGGCGUCGGCGUGGC
rnacentral:lncRNA from 1 species